rnacentral:rRNA from 1 species
UACGUAGGGUGCAAGCGUUAUCCGGAAUUAUUGGGCGUAAAGAGCUCGUAGGCGGUUUGUCGCGUCUGCUGUGAAAACGCGAGGCUCAACCUCGCGCCUGCAGUGGGUACGGGCAGACUAGAGUGCGGUAGGGGAGAUUGGAAUUCCUGGUGUAGCGGUGGAAUGCGCAGAUAUCAGGAGGAACACCGAUGGCGAAGGCAGAUCUCUGGGCCGUGAACUGACGCUGAGGAGCGAAAGCGUGGGGAGCGAACAGG